UACGUAGGGUGCAAGCGUUAAUCGGAAUUACUGGGCGUAAAGCGUGCGCAGGCGGUUGUGCAAGACAGAUGUGAAAUCCCCGGGCUUAACCUGGGAAUUGCAUUUGUGACUGCACGGCUAGAAUCUGGCAGAGGGGGGUAGAAUUCCACGUGUAGCAGUGAAAUGCGUAGAGAUGCGGAGGAACACCGAUGGCGAAGGCAGCCCCCUGGGCUGACACUGACGCUCAGGCACGAAAGCGUGGGGAGCAAACAGG
rnacentral:rRNA from 1 species